UACGUAGGCGGAAAAUUAAGUCAGUAGUGAAAUCCCGCAACUUAACUGUGGAACUGUUAUUGAUACUGGUUUUCUUGAAUAUAGUUGAGGUAGGCGGAAUGUGUAAUGUAGCGGUGAAAUGCUUAGAUAUUACACAGAACACCGAUUGCGAAGGCAGCUUACUAAGCUAUGAUUGACGCUGAGGUACGAAAGCGUGGGGAGCGAACAGGAUUAGAUACCCUGGUAGUCC
rnacentral:rRNA from 1 species